GGACAGUGUAUUUUGUUUCCUUUGGAAGACACAGUAGAGACUAACUCAUGGAGGUCCCAGACUUAAAAGAACACAGUUGCCGACUAUUACAUUAUACAAUAAGUAGAAAAGAAGAAAGAUGAGAUAAAGAUUCUAGGAAUUAGAAAAUCCAAUUAUUGUUUGGAUUCUAAACACUAUCUCUGUGCCCUUGGGAAAACCUCUUUGCCUGGUUCCUACUAGGCAGCUCUGUGGCAGAGGCCAUUUCCCCAGAAUCAGUGAGGAGGGCCCUCAACAUUUCUUACCUCCUGUAAGUCCAGACCCUAAGAAAGUAAAUCCAGAAGUGCCAUCUUGCCUCUUCCAUGCUGCAAGUUUUCCUGUGUGAGAAUUCUCUUCUUCUUUGAAUGAUCGAUGAAAUGAUGGAAUAACUGAGGGAAUGUAAAUGAAGUACACAGUUGAAUUCCAGAGAAAAUACACGCGCAGCAUGUGGGACCUUCGCUUCCCAACCAGGGAUCAAACCUGCGUCCCCUGCAUUGCAAGUGCGGAGUCUUAACCACUCCAGGGACAGCCAGGGAAGUCCCACCUUGGGGAUGCUUCUGAUCUUUGCCUCUUAUACACUUUA